rnacentral:misc_RNA from 1 species
AAGAGUUGCAAAACUCCCACAUACCAUUGUGAACCUCACCUUUAUACCGUUUCCUCGGCGGGCGGCGGCUCGCCGCCCCCAGCCGGCCCGCUCUAGGGCCGGGCCCGCCAGAGGCGCACCAACUCUUGGUUUUCGGUUGGCUUCUCUGAGUUAUACUUUUAAAAUAAGUUA